GAGAGGAAAGAUAAGAAGUUAAGAAUCCAGUCAAGGUAAGCCUGAGCCAGCAGCACCCUAGAAUCCCACAGCAUGCACUCAGCCCCUACAGUGGCCAGCAGCCAGGUGCUAGUUGCUUUGCCUUCUCAACUCUUUGUUUCCCUUGGCAAUGACUUCUUAGAGAGGUCCCCCUGCAGAAGUGAUUGCAAUUGCAAAUUAAGAAAAUGGAUGAGAGAAAAUAAUUAUUUUCUUCCAUUCUCCGAAUAAGGCAUGAGGUUAAGCAUAUGAGAGAACAAAAUAAACCAAUUCCAGCAUGUAAAUGAUCAGCAUCUAUUUUAAUAACUACACUUGGGAUUCUGUAAAUAUAAUGAAUAGUAGUAUAUGGCUUUUGGAAACCAUUUAAUGGAUCCUUAUCAGCAGCCUACAGACAGGAUCUGAAUGGUCACAGCUUUGGAUAAUGGGACACAAUUUAGGAAUUGAGGGAAAAACCAACUUUGCUAAUCUCUAGAACAAUCAAGAAAAUGUGUGGAAUUUAUAAAUAACAGUGGAGGGAAAGCAUGAGCUGCCAGAAAGCUGCUAUUCCUCUGCUUGGCUUUUAGCAGAGGCUGAGGAAUUUGCUUGGGUUGUUUGGGAAAUUCUUGUGAUACUUAUAAUAUAAUCAGGCAGAGGUUUUCUUUUUUUAAUAUAUUUCUGCUUGCCUGCCAAAUGCUAAUGAUUGCUGGAUGCUAAUUGUCUACAGCAGUUGUUAAAUGAGUUUCCCUUCACAUCUCCUCUGGGGGUAUUUAUAAAAGGGUAAGGAAUCUAUCAAGAAGUAUGCUGUAGAAAGCAACAAAUCCCCAAUCUCCUUUCUACUCUGGAGGUACUGAGUUGAAAAGAGGCCAGGGAUCUUCAGGCUCCACUUAUUCCUGACAUCACCCAGAACCUUGGCGAGGUUCCAAAGUCUUCAGGGUUGGAGGUUCCAACAACUCUGGGCUGGAGGUUGACUAGGUCCGGGAAAGCUUUUGCAGCCCGAAGACUUCUGCCUCUCUUACCUACUUCUCGGUAUUCUCCAUCCCUAACCCCUGUCAACCACUAAUCUGUUUUCCAUUCCUAACACGCUGUCCCUUCAAAAAUGUUAUAUAAAUGGAAUCAUAUAAUACCUAACCUUUUAGAUUGACUUUUUUCACUCAGCAUAAUUCCCUGGAGAGGCAUCCAAGUUGUAUCCCAUUUCAACAGUAUUCCAUGGUGUGUAUGCACCACAGCUUGUUUAGUGACUCACCUAUCCAGUUUGGGUUGUGAUGAAUAAAGCUGCUGUGUGAACAUAAGUUUCCAUUCCUUUGGACUGAAUGCCCAAGAGUGCAAUUGCUGGGUUGUAAGCUUUAGUUUUAUAGGAAAUUGUCAAAUUAUUUUCCAGUGUGGUUGUACCAUUUUACAUUCCUACCAGCAGCAGUUGGAUCCGGUUUUUCCAUGACCUGGUCAGUGUUUUCACUGUGCUUUAUUUUAGCCAUUCUGAUAUGUGUGCCAUGACAUUUAACUGUGAUUUUAAUUUUUAUUUUUCUUAUGGUGAAUGAUAUUGAACAUCAUGUAUGCCUUUUGACCACUUUCUAGUUGGAUUGGUUGUUAUUAG
rnacentral:lncRNA from 1 species